rnacentral:rRNA from 1 species
UAGGGAAUCUUCGGCAAUGGGGGGAACCCUGACCGAGCAACGCCGCGUGAGUGAAGAAGGUUUUCGGAUCGUAACGCUCUGUUGUAAGAGAAGAACGGGUGUGAGAGUGGAAAGUUCACACUGUGACGGUAUCUUACCAGAAAGGGACGGCUAACUACGUGCCAGCAGCCGCGGUAAUACGUAGGUCCCGAGCGUUGUCCGGAUUUAUUGGGCGUAAAUCGAGCGCAGGCGGUUAGAUAAGUCUGAAGUUAAAGGCUGUGGCUUAACCAUAGUAUGCUUUGGAAACUGUUUAACUUGAGUGCAGAAGGGGAGAGUGGAAUUCCAUGUGUAGCGGUGAAAUGCGUAGAUAUAUGGAGGAACACCGGUGGCGAAAGCGGCUCUCUGGUCUGUAACUGACGCUGAGGCUCGAAAGCGUGGGGAGCAAACA